rnacentral:rRNA from 1 species
AGUCACGUAGUUUGACUCCUGGCUCAGAACACGCUGGCGGCAUGCCUAACACAUGCAAGUCGGAACGAGACCUUCGGGUCUAGUGGCGCACGGGGUGCGUAACGCGUGGGAAUCUGCCCCUUGGUUCGGAAUAACAGCGAGAAAUUGCUGCUAAUACCGGAUAAUGACGUAAGUCCAAAGAUUUAUCGCCAAGGGAUGAGCCCGCGUAGGAUUAGCUAGUUGGUGUGGUAAAGGCGCACCAAGGCGACGAUCCUUAGCUGGUCUGAGAGGAUGAUCAGCCACACUGGGACUGAGACACGGCCCAGACUCCUACGGGAGGCAGCAGUGGGGAAUAUUGGACAAUGGGCGAAAGCCUGAUCCAGCAAUGCCGCGUGAGUGAUGAAGGCCUUAGGGUUGUAAAGCUCUUUUACCCGGGAUGAUAAUGACAGUACCGGGAGAAUAAGCUCCGGCUAACUCCGUG